UUGGGGCCAGAGUGAGAAAAGUGGGCUCGAGAAUAGGUUCUCAGGGAACGGAUGGCACAGGUGCCAGAAACACAGAUGAGAAUAUUUUUUUUUGUGAGAAUAAAUGCAGUGCAUGAUUGCUCUAUAGACUAACGAAAAUAGCUCAAUAGAGGGAAACAUCAGGAAUGAAAGAGAUUUGGAGAGAGGUGGUGAUUUUAUUUUUUUCAUAGUAUAUGCCAUAGCCAGCUCUUUUUGGACAGCCGAAUAAUAGUUUAAGAAGUGAAGGAAAUUUGCAAAGUUGUCAGCCUUUCGAAAAUCUACUAUCUGCAUCAU
rnacentral:lncRNA from 1 species